rnacentral:lncRNA from 1 species
AUUUAUAUAGGGAAAAUGUUUUCCAGGAUACGAAAGUAUCCCAGGGUCAUGUGAAUGAUACAAUGGAAUCUGCCAUUGAAGCUUGUGAAUGCUAUUAUCUUUGUGGAGUGACACACGCACGUCAGGAUACUUCUUUGCUACUGACAAAGUGAUUUAUCAAAGAAGAAUGUAUAUAUUCUACUGUGUAUCAGCCUAUUCUGAUACAUACUAUAUAUUUUAUUUGUUAUAUAUCUAUAUAUCUGUUUAAUAUUAUGUAUAUAUAUUCUGUUGCAGAGAUGAAUAUGACUAUGAAGGCAUCAGUGGAACAUGAGAUAAGUAAAUCCAACCUUCUCAUUUGAGUCAUAAAAUAUAUGCUUUCUUUCCCAAAAUGAAAAAUGGGUUUUAUUUAUGGAAACAUAAGCACAAUCAUUUAAAUUUAGAUUGCUGCUUAACAAGCCCAUUUAGAUUCUGGGAAAGUCAAUGGACACAAGUAAUUUAUGAACAAUAUAAUUUGUCAAAAUCUUUUUGCUGAAGGAGAAUUCAAUCAACUGGGCUCUUAUUCCUGAAAACCAAAUGAUCUGGCCAUAUGCAUUUAUCUUCUUUCCAUCCUUUUGCAUAAUUUAAAAUCAUCCCCUUAUGAAUAAAGAUGCUGAGUAAUAUUAUCUAAUAUUUCUACAGUAUUGCAUACGUUACUAAGAACAUUGAUAUGCAUUAUCUCAUGUAAUCAUGGUGACCUCCCUUUGAAGUAGUUACUGUCCCAUUUUAUAGUUGAGGAAACUGAAAAUAAGUGAUUAAGUAACUGGCUCAAUUUCAUAUAGCUAACAAGUAGCAGGACCACAGUUAAAUUUAGGUCUUCUGGCUAUAAUUCCAAAGUUUUAGUCAUGACACUUUACUCUUGCUAUGGAAAACAUUUACUUCUAUCCAUUGGUAACAAUUAUAUUUCAAACUCUGGUAAAAAUCCAUGAAAAAAUUUUGCCAUGUAACAUUUUCCUAUGUAGCAAAUCAGCAAAACUCUGCCUUCUGGAAAAUAUAAAGCAGCUAUACUUGUUUUCCCAUAUAAAUCGAUAUUGGAAUGAUUUGGAGGACCAAGUCAAGGAAGAAAUGUGUGUCCAGGCUUUGUGA